rnacentral:piRNA from 1 species
GGAAGAGAAGGAACAGAAGAAAG